rnacentral:misc_RNA from 1 species
AGCUCAAGUUCCUAAGCUUCCCAGCAGCGAUUUCUUCACACCGAACAGUGGCAACCAUUACCUUGUGAGCAGGAAGAUCCAGAUCCUUAUUCUCUUUUAUGAUUUUCCAUAUCUGCUGUGCACUAAAAGAAAAUCCUGAAGCAGGGACAACUCCUCGCCUAUCACCAGCAAGUCCUCCUGGAGAAAUAGAAUGGAAGAAUUGCUGCCUCAGUUGAGCAACCUGCUCUUUAAACUGUUCCUCCUUUUCUUCGUAGCUAGACAAAGCAAUGAUCUUAACAUUAAAAAAGUCGCUGAGAGGAGUGCUAUUAUGAGCCCGAGGUUUAGCAACAGCAUCCCAUAUCUUCUGAAUAUCUU